GACGAACGCUGGCGGCGUGCCUAACACAUGCAAGUCGAACGGAACUGUUUUGAAAGAUUUCUUCGGAAUGAAUUUGAUUUAGUUUAGUGGCGGACGGGUGGGUAACGCGUGAGUAACCUGCCUUCAAGAGGGGAAUAACAUUCUGAAAAGAAUGCUAAUACCGCAUGACAUAUCGGAACCACAUGGUUUUGAUAUCAAAGAUUUUAUCGCUUGAAGAUGGACUCGCGUCCGAUUAGUUAGUUGGUGAGGUAACGGCUCACCAAGACCGCGAUCGGUAGCCGGACUGAGAGGUUGAACGGCCACAUUGGGACUGAGACACGGCCCAGACUCCUACGGGAGGCAGCAGUGGGGGAUAUUGCGCAAUGGGGGCAACCCUGACGCAGCAACGCCGCGUGAAGGAUGAAGGUUUUCGGAUUGUAAACUUCUUUUAUUAAGGACGAAAAAUGACGGUACUUAAUGAAUAAGCUCCGGCUAACUACGUG
rnacentral:rRNA from 1 species